rnacentral:misc_RNA from 1 species
UGGUUCUGGCAUNGAUGAAGAACGCAGCAAAAUGCGAUAAGUAAUGUGAAUUGCAGAAUUCAGUGAAUCAUCGAAUCUUUGAACGCACAUUGCGCCCGCCAGUAUUCUGGCGGGCAUGCCUGUUCGAGCGUCAUUUCAACCCUCAAGCUCAGCUUGGUGUUGGGACUCGCGGUAACCCGCGUUCCCCAAAUCGAUUGGCGGUCACGUCGAGCUUCCAUAGCGUAGUAAUCAUACACAUCGUUACUGGUAAUCGUCGCGGCCUCGCCGUAAAACCCCAACUUCUGAAUGUUGACCUCGGAUCAGGUAGGAAUACCCGCUGA